GUUGCUGUGAUGAGCCAUAACAAGUAAGAACAACCAACUGAUCAACUGGUUCUUCAAUGAAAUAUAAGCUGAUACGCUUGGCUUCUGAGCUGC
rnacentral:snoRNA from 1 species